rnacentral:rRNA from 1 species
UACGUAGGGUGCGAGCGUUAAUCGGAAUUACUGGGCGUAAAGCGUGCGUAGGCGGUUCGCUGUGUCCGAUGUGAAAGCCCCGGGCUUAACCUGGGAAUGGCAUUGGAACUGGCGGGCUUGAGUGUGGCAGAGGGGGGUGGAAUUCCGGCGUGUAGCAGUGAAAUGCGUAGAGAUGCGGAGGAACACCGAGUGGCGAAGGCAGCCCCCGG